UGAAGCUGGAAUUGCUAGUAAUCACAGGUCAGCAUACUGUGGUGAAUACGUUCCCGGGCCUUGUACACACCGCCCGUCACACCAUGAGAGUUGAGAAUACCCGAAGCCCAUGUCAAAGUGGUCGAAGGUAGGCUUGAUGAUUGGGGUGAAGUCGUAACAAGGUACC
rnacentral:rRNA from 1 species